ensembl:misc_RNA Metazoa_SRP Metazoan signal recognition particle RNA
GCCAGGCGUGGUGACUCACACCUGUAAUCCCAGCACUUGGGAGGCCGAGGUGGGAGGAUCACCUGAGGUCAGGAGUUCGAGACCAGCCUGGCCAACAGGGUGAAACCCCAUCUCUA